GCUGUAUUCCUGGUUGUCCCAGAAACCUAUCCGUGCAGCCGCUUGGCGUGAUUUAACUGAGCUAUGGGAAGCAUGCAGUCUGACUCCUUCAUUCAGUACCCUAUACUGUGCUUUCCUCGUCAGCAAAAUGAUAAUCCCCACUGCGCUGAGCGCUAUCCAAGAGAGUGGGGAGCCUCAUCUCAUUUUGAGCAUGGUGUCCAGCACAUUCCAGGAGCCCGGUAUACCCCAGGUGCCUACUGAAAAAGUCAUUUUACCUAGAUGUCAAACUCUCCCUGUAAAACUCACCAUGUCCUCCUUGGCUUUUGUCUUCGUGGGCACCAGGGGCAGCAAGGUUUCCUGAGUGAGAUCUCUAUAAUGGAGGCAGACUUCAGGCCCUCAAGUCAGACGUAUACAUCGUUGCCAAUGUCUACCGUUGCUGGGUACAUCCAAGGAGUCUAUGGUCCAUCCAGACCUCAGACUGAUUGACCCUCAGC
rnacentral:lncRNA from 1 species